rnacentral:rRNA from 1 species
AACGAACGCUGGCGGCAUGCCUAACACAUGCAAGUCGAACGAAGCCUUCGGGCUUAGUGGCGCACGGGUGCGUAACGCGUGGGAAUCUGCCCCUUGCUUCGGAAUAACAGUUAGAAAUGACUGCUAAUACCGGAUGAAGUCUUCGGACCAAAGAUUUAUCGGCAAGGGAUGAGCCCGCGUAGGAUUAGGUAGUUGGUGGGGUAAUGGCCUACCAAGCCGACGAUCCUUAGCUGGUCUGAGAGGAUGAUCAGCCACACUGGGACUGAGACACGGCCCAGACUCCUACGGAAGGCAGCAGUGGAGAAUAUUGGACAAUGGACUCAAGUCUGAGCCAGCAAUGCCGCUUGAGUGAUGAAGGCCUUAGAGUUGUAAAGCGCUAUUACCAAGGAUGAUAAUGACAGUACCUAGAGAAUAAGCCCCGGCUAACUCCGUG